UGUCGUGAGAUGUUGGUUAAGUCCGCAACGAGCGCAACCCUCGACCUUAGUUGCCAGCAUUCAGUUGGGCACUCUAAGGUGACUGCCGGCUAAAAGUCGGAGGAAGGUGGGGAUGACGUCAAAUCAUCAUGCCCCUUAUGACCUGGGCUACACACGUGCUACAAUGGUCGGUACAAAGGGUUGCCAAGCCGCGAGGUGGAGCUAAUCCCAUAAAACCGAUCGUAGUCCGGAUCGCAGUCUGCAACUCGACUGCGUGAAGUCGGAAUCGCUAGUAAUCGUGAAUCAGAAUGUCACGGUGAAUACGUUCCCGGGCCUU
rnacentral:rRNA from 1 species